GGGGUAUUCAAGUCAAGGAAGAAAGCUUCUAACUUUCAUCUAAGCGGUUAAAUUCCGUUUAUACCUCU
rnacentral:tRNA from 1 species